rnacentral:tRNA from 1 species
GCCUGAGUGGCUCAGUUAGUUGAGCAUCUGACUUCGGCUCAGGUCAUGAUCUCACGGUUUGUGGGUUCAAGCCUCACGUCAGGCU